UUCAGUCAGACCUUUUGUUUUUUCUUUUGUGAAAUCCUUUACCAACGCCCUUGAACUGUGGAAUCUCGUUACAUUUGGGCCCUUCAAUUUUUUUAUUUUAGUAUUAAGCCCCUUAAAUUUGCACUUUCUUUUUAUCAGUUCGAACUAUUCUGGUUCAUGGCUAGGAAACUGUUUUGUUUUGUUUUUCUCUUGGUGGCAACCCCUUCGCAAUUGAG
rnacentral:lncRNA from 1 species